AGGAGUAUAGUUAAUUAUAACAUUUUUUUUGCAAAAAUAAGGUAUUGGAAUCAAUUACUCUUA
rnacentral:tRNA from 1 species